rnacentral:rRNA from 1 species
GACGAACGCUGGCGGCGUGCUUAACACAUGCAAGUCGAACGGAAAGGCCUCUUUCGGGGGGUACUCGAGUGGCGAACGGGUGAGUAACACGUGAGUAACCUGCCCUUGACUUUGGGAUAACUUCAGGAAACUGGGGCUAAUACCGGAUAGGAGCUCCUGCUGCAUGGUGGGGGUUGGAAAGUUUCGGCGGUUGGGGAUGGACUCGCGGCUUAUCAGCUUGUUGGUGGGGUAGUGGCUUACCAAGGCUUUGACGGGUAGCCGGCCUGAGAGGGUGACCGGCCACAUUGGGACUGAGAUACGGCCCAGACUCCUACGGGAGGCAGCAGUGGGGAAUAUUGCACAAUGGGUGGAAGCCUGAUGCAGCCACGCCGUGUGCGGGAUGACGGCCUUCGGGUUGUAAACCGCUUUCGCUCAUGACGAAGCUUUGUGUGACGGUAGUGGGUAAAGAAGCACCGGCUAACUACGUG